rnacentral:rRNA from 1 species
UGGGGAAUAUUGCACAAUGGGCGAAAGCCUGAUGCAGCAACGCCGCGUGAAGGAAGAAGGGUUUCGGCUCGUAAACUUCUAUCAACAGGGACGAAGGAAGUGACGGUACCUGAAUAAGAAGCCCCGGCUAACUACGUGCCAGCAGCUGCGGUAAUACGUAGGGGGCAAGCGUUAUCCGGAAUUACUGGGUGUAAAGGGUGAGUAGGCGGCAUGGUAAGCCAGAUGUGAAAGCCUUGGGCUUAACCCGAGGAUUGCAUUUGGAACUAUCAAGCUAGAGUACAGGAGAGGAAAGCGGAAUUCCUAGUGUAGCGGUGAAAUGCGUAGAUAUUAGGAAGAACACCAGUGGCGAAGGCGGCUUUCUGGACUGAAACUGACGCUGAGGCACGAAAGCGUGGGGAGCGACAGGAUUAGAUACCC